AUUGUAAACCUUUAUUAGUGGUCAGGCUUCUGUAAAUGAAAGUUUGAAUAUAAUAUUGUAAAACCUUUAUUAGUGGUCAGGCUUCUAUAAAUGAAAGUUUGAAUAUUAUUUUUCCAAAGUGGGUCAAUGAUCCUGUAACUGCUGGAAACACAAGUGUUUAUGGUAUUGUACACGUGUUUAAAGCAGCUGCAGUACAUGUGUUUCCAGCAGUUACCAGGAUCACUGACCCAAGUGUUUAGAGCAGCUGCAGUACAUGGGUCAAUGAUCCUGUAACUUCUGGAAACACAAGUCUUUAUGGUAUUGUACACGUGUUAAAAGCAGCUGCAGUACAUGUGUUUCCAGCAGUUAUAGGAUCACUGACCCAAGUGUUUGGAGCAGCUGCAGUACAUGGGUCGAUGAUCCUGUAACUGCUGGAAACACAAGUGGUUUAUUAUACUGAUGAAGUUGAAGAAGCUUAGGUAUGUUUGUUCACUGUUUUAACAGCUGAUUGAUGCACUGACUACAGUAAAGUCUAUCAACAGAACCGAUGCCAUGACUCUGCUGAGUAUAUUUGGGUCUCUCGAGAAGAUUGUUGAGGCUAGUGAAAAUGAGUUGAGUUUGUGCCCUGGUAUUGGCCCACAAAAGGCAGCAAGACUUCACAGUGUUCUUCAUCAGCCGUUUUUAAAAGCGAACCUCAAGUCUUAGUGACAACGUGUGUAAAUUAAGGAUGUAACAUAUUAUAUGGAGUAAUAAAAUUGGUCGAGGUCCCAUCUUCUACACUA